rnacentral:rRNA from 1 species
GAUGAACGCUGGCGGCGGGCUUAAUACAUGCAAGUCGAGGGGCAGCAGGAUUGUAGCAAUACAGUUGCUGGCGACCGGCAAACGGGUGCGGAACACGUACGCAACCUUCCUUUAACUGGAAGAUAGCCCACCGAAAGGUGGAUUAAUACUCCAUAAUAUAUUGAAGAGGCAUCUUUUUAAUAUUAAAGCUCCGGCGGUUAAAGAUGGGCGUGCGUCUGAUUAGGUAGUUGGCGGGGUAACGGCCCACCAAGCCUUCGAUCAGUAGCUGAUGUGAAAGGACGAUCAGCCACACGGGACCGGAGACACGGGCCCGAGUCCUACGGGAGGCAGCAGGAAGGAAUAUUGGUCAAUGGACGCAAGUCUGAACCAGCCAUGCCGCGUGGAGGAUGAAGGCCCUCUGGGUUGUAAACUUCUUUUCUUUGGGACGAAACCCCUGUUUCUACGGGGACUGACGGUACCAGAGGAAUAAGCACCGGCUAACUCCGUGCCAGCCGCCGCCGUAA